UUCUAUGUUGAUAGCUGGUGGGGGCCAAAUGCUACAACGGCUAUAUUUAUUGCAGCAGCUGUAACUGACUGGCUUGAUGGAUACCUUGCUCGCAAGAUGAACUUAGGAACUGCCUUUGGUGCGUUUUUAGAUCCAGUGGCUGACAAGUUAAUGGUUGCUGCUACCUUGGUCUUGUUGUGCACCAAACCUUUGGAGUCCGGUGUGUUCGGACAGUUGCCAUGGCUAUUAACUGUCCCUUCGAUUGCGAUAAUAGGCAGGGAGAUAACCAUGUCUGCAGUUCGAGAAUGGGCGGCUUCUCAGGGUG
rnacentral:misc_RNA from 1 species